GCGGACGGGUGAGUAACACGUGGGUAACCUACCCUAAAGCGGGGGAUAACAUUUGGAAACAGAUGCUAAUACCGCAUAACAAUAAGAAUCGAAUGUUUCUUAUUUAAAAGAUGGUUUCGGCUAUCACUUAGGAUGGACCUGCGGCGUAUUAGCUAGUUGGUAAGGUAAUGGCUUACCAAGGCGAUGAUACGUAGCCGACCUGAGAGGGUGAUCGGCCACAUUGGGACUGAGACACGGCCCAA
rnacentral:rRNA from 1 species